GGACCCGUGGUCUAGUGGUUACCUGCCGGGCGCGAUGCCCGCUAGCCAUACAUGACACCCGCUUGACGUGCGGGGAAUCGGGAGUUCGACUCUCCCCGGGUCCACCA
rnacentral:tRNA from 1 species